UACAGAGUUCAUGCCCUCACGGGUAGAUCUCCCACCCUAUGUUAUUGUUACCUUUGUUGCUUUGGCGGGCCGUCAGGCCUCGGUCAGGCUACCGGCUUCAGCUGGUAAGCGCCCGCCAGAGGACCCCAAACUCUGAAUAUUAGUGUCGUCUGAGUACUAUAUAAUAGUUAAAACUUUCAACAACGGAUCUCUUGGUUCUGGCAUCGAUGAAGAACGCAGCGAAAUGCGAUAAGUAAUGUGAAUUGCAGAAUUCAGUGAAUCAUCGAAUCUUUGAACGCACAUUGCGCCCCUUGGUAUUCCGGGGGGCAUGCCUGUUCGAGCGUCAUUACAACCCUCAAGCCUGGCUUGGUAUUGGGCUUCGCCGUUUUGGCGGGCCUUAAAAUCAGUAACAGUGUCGUUGGGGCCCUGAGCGUAGUACAUAUCCUCGCUAUAGGGAUUUCCACGGCCAUUAACCCUCACUUUCUAAGUUUGACCUCGGAUCAGGUAGGGAUACCCGCUGAACUUAAGCAUAUCAAUAAG
rnacentral:rRNA from 1 species